AUAUUGGACAAUGGGGUCAACUCUGAUCCUCCCAUGCCGCGUGUGUGACGAAGGUACNNNGAUUGNACAAUAAAUUAUGUUAGNAAANAGUGCUCAACGUUAAUACGCUGCAGUUAUGCCGUUACCAACAGAAUAAGCACUGUCCAACCACGUCACGACCGCCGCGGUAAUACAAAGGGUGCAAGCGUUAAUCGGAAUUACUGGGCGUAACGCGCGCGUAGGUGGUUCAGUAAGAUGGGUGUGAAAUCCCCGGGCUUAACCUGGGAACUGCUUUCAUAACUGCUGAGCUAGAGUACGGUAGAGGGUAGUGGAAUUUCCUGUGUAGCGGUGAAAUGCGUAGAUAUAGGAAGGAACACCAGUGGCGAAGGCGACUACCUGGACUGAUACUGACACUGAGGUGCGAAAGCGUGGGGAGCAAACAG
rnacentral:rRNA from 1 species